rnacentral:rRNA from 1 species
CGUAGGGUGCGAGCGUUAAUCGGAAUUACUGGGCGUAAAGCGUGCGCAGGCGGUUUUGUAAGACAGGCGUGAAAUCCCCGGGCUCAACCUGGGAACCGCGCUUGUGACUGCAAGGCUAGAGUACGGCAGAGGGGGGUGGAAUUCCACGUGUAGCAGUGAAAUGCGUAGAGAUGUGGAGGAACACCAAUGGCGAAGGCAGCCCCCUGGGUCGAUACUGACGCUCAUGCACGAAAGCGUGGGUAGCAAACAGGAUUAGAUACCCUGGUAGUCCACGCCCUAAACGAUGUCAACUAGGUGUUGGGUGGGUAAAACCAUUUAGUACCGGAGCUAACGCGUGAAGUUGACCGCCUGGGGAGUACGGCCGCAAGGUUA